rnacentral:lncRNA from 1 species
UUUAAUUACUCGUGCUUAAUCUCGCAUGUUUAGGAUUUGGGCAUAAAGUACUUAAAGCCACUGUUUUCUGCUUGAGGGAAGUUGGUAUGUUGAAUAUGUUUAGCUUUCUUGUGGCAUUUUAACACUAGAUAUCAGUGAGUAAGCUGGAUUGUGACAGUUUAUAAUUCCCGUGGGCCUUCCUCCUUCAGUUUAAGCUUGAAGCGUUCGUAAGGUUCUCAAAGACUACAGAAGUUGGAAACUUCGCGGAGAGACUGCAAGUUACCCUUUCCAAAAUGGCGGGAAGGGCUAAAAACAAAGAAAGCUCGCACCCAGACGGCGGGCCUUAAACCAAGGCGAAUCCGUGAGCGCAACACAUCUGCUUCUGUGGCUCCUGAUGGAUCUGAGAAGAUGGACGUGGAGGAUGAAAAUCUGUCUGAUUAUUUUGAACUGAUGUUUGUUGCUAUGGAGAUGCUGCCUAUAUGUUGAUGUUGCAGACGUUAAGUCACUAGCCCACAGCCUUGUAUUCCAUACUCAGAGACCCUGCUACUUACUUGACAUCUCAACUUGAAAGUCCAAUUAAUAUGCACUUCAAACUUUAAUAGGCUUCAAACAGAAUUUCUUUCAUUAUCUCUGCAAAACAGCUUCUCUCAUCAUCUUGAAAUUAGUGAAUGGCAUUUUACUGUUUUAGUUGGAGUCAUUUCUGUGGUUUUCUUUCACAUCCUACAUAACAAUCCAUCAGUAAGUUCUAUGAGCUCUUCUUUGAAAACAAACAGAAUCCAACUGUUUCAUUCCCACUUCUGCUCUGGUCAAGCCACUGCCAACACUCACCUUUAUUAUUGUAGCACCCUCAUUGCCUAGUUCUGUCCCACAGAUUUCCAAUAAAAGGUGAAUAAAAUCAGGUCACUCUUCUGCUGAAAACCCUCCAAUGGCUCUCAUUUCGCUAAAAAGAAAACCCAAAGUCCUUUCAGUACCUUGCAAGGCCCCACACUCUGGCUCUUGUUAUCUCUUUGGCCUCAAAUCCCACUACUCCUUUCCUUCCUCGCGCAGCUCCGCUAGCCUCAAACUUGCUGUAAGUAUGUAUCUUUCAGGGACUAUAUAUUGACAGUUCCCUUUGUGUGGGCAACUCAGCUUCUAGAUUUAAGUGUUGCUGCCUCACUUCUUUCAAAUAACACCCUCUGUGUGAGGCUGGUUGUGACCCCACUGGCAUUACAAUCCUGCUCCCUUCCUCACGGCCUUCCCACUAUAUUUUUCCCUGCUCCUAAGGAUCCUGCAGUCUAUUUGGAGAGUGAAAACAUAUCCUUAUGAAAAGGAAAGCAGGAAUGGAAUAUUAUAUGGAAUGUCAGAUGAGUGUAAUUCAAGUCAGUAUCAGAAGUGAUAGUUCCUGGCUUGGUGCCAGAUGUUGGAGGCCUGUUGGGCCAAUGACAGGAAUGUAGACUUUAUUCUGGACAGCAGAGAACCAUACAAAAUCUCCCCUCCCUGCUUUGGUUCUGAUUAUGUCACAAUUCUAGCAUCUUUCAUGAAACUAGUUUUUGCACUGAGCAUAUUAGACUCAAAUUAUGUGUUUAUCUUAAUAAGUGCCUAGAUGAAUAUAAAUAAAAUGAAUAUAAAUCUAAAUUUACAAUUGACAAAAUGAUAUACUUUAGUGUACAUAAAUCUAAAUUUACAAUUGACAAAAUGAUAUACUUUAGUGUACAUUUUAGGUUAUGUCCUUCUGGCAGAAAAGGAAGAUAUUUCAAGAAUUAUCCUUUACACAGCAAGUCUUGUAUAUUAGCAGUGAUUUUUGUAAAGUGCCUGGUCUUUUGAGUAUCUACAGACUUUGAGUAUAAGGGGAGAUUGCCUUUUGUAUAACCAAAUUUCUAAUACCAGAAAUAUUUAUGGAGGUUCUGUAUUUUUAUGGAAGGUGAGAUGACUUUUCCGUGAAUACAUUUGUUCAUUAUUGUUUCUUUAUUUGCUUUAAAAUUUAUAAUUCUAGAUAUAUAUAAAAGAAUGUAGGCCGGGCGCAGUGGCUUACGCCUGUAAUCCCAGCACUUUGGGAGGUCGAGGUGGGCGGAUCACAAGGUCAGGAGAUCGAGACCAUGGUGAAACCCCGUCUCUACUAAAAACAAAAAAUUAGCCAGGUGUAGUGGCGGGUGCCUGUAGUCCCAGCUACUCGGGAGGCUGAGGCAGGAGAAUGGUGUGAACCUGGGAGGCGGAGCUUGCAGUGAGCUGAGAUUGUGCCACUGCACUCCAGCCUGUGUGACAGAGCAAGACUCCGUAUCAAAAAAAAAAAAAAAAUGUAAGGCCAGGUAUGGUAGUGCAUGUCUGUAAUGCUGGCACUCUGGGAGGCUGAGGCAGGUGGAUCACCUGAGGUCAGGAGUUCGGGACUAGCUUAGCCAACAUAGUGAAACCCCAUCUCUACCAAAAACACAAAAAUUAGCCAGGCAUGGUGGUGCGUGCCUGUAGUCCCAGGUACUCUGGAGGCUGAGGUGGGAGAAUUGCUUGAACCCAGGAAGUGGAGGUUGUAGUGAACUGAGAUUGCGACUACAUUCUAGCCUAGAUGACAGAGCAAGUCUCCGUCUGAAAAAAAAAAAAAGUAUUAAAUCCACAUCCAAGUUAUAAAGGAUAAUAUGAUGACCAUGCUUGAACCCAGUUGCCAACCAGGUAUAACAAAUACUACAAAUAACAACUUUGACCUCAUCUCUCAUCCUCCCACUACUUCCCCUGGAGGUAGCCAUUGCCUUGAAAUGUUGCUUGCUUGGCAUUAAAAUUCCUUAUGCUUUUCUGGUCCUUACACUAAUACUGCAAGUUUUGCUUGACUUUCCCAUUUGAUCCUCUUUGAGGUCACUAGUGCAUUAUUUUAUAAACAAGAACAUAUACUUAGAGUCACAUGGAUUAUUAAGUGGUUCACUAAUCUUAUUCUAUUCUUUCCUGUAAUGUUAGGAUACUUGUCUCUUGCCUUGUUUUUCAAUUUCCUUAGUGUGCAAUUGUAUCUUACAAUUAUCUUAUUAAUUUUUUAUAUACCAAACCUAGAAUAAUACUGUAUACAUAGUUGGUGUCCAAUAAUUAAUUAAUUUUUUUUCCUGCAAAUAUGGAGGCAGUAGAAAAAAGAAAAAAAUACUUUUAUUUUUCUUAACACAGGACAGAGAAACUUGGAAAAGGAAAGGGCUUAAUGGAGAACUUCCUUUUUCCUAACUACACUAUUGGGAGUUUUAGAGACAGCCAAAUAGAGAAAGUUCUCUCCAGAGGAGCUGAUCCUUUCAUCCCAAAGAAUGCAACAGAAUUGUUUACAUUUUGGCAUUGAGCCUUCUAGUCAGUUUUUUUUCCUGUAACUAACUAUACUACACAUGUAUAUGAUAUAUUAAUAUAAAUGAGAAUAUAUGAUUUGGCACCUUUCCCAAAGUACUAUCCUUCAAGCAUAUUUUAUGUUUAUUUUUUUGACGUUAGUUUUAAUAGCUGCACAGUAUUUCAUUAUGCAUAAACCAUUUUUGUCUUUUUUCUUCUCUUAAGACAGUGUCUCUCUCUGUUGCUCAGGCUGGAGUGCCGUAACGGGAUCAUGGCUCACUGCAACCUCUGCCUCCCUGGCUAAAGUGAUCCUCCUGUCUCAGUCUCUUGAGUAGCUGGGACUACAGGUGCACACCACCACACCGGAGUAAUUUUUGUAUUUUCUGUAGAGAUGGGGUUUAACCAUGUUACCCAGGCUGUCUUAAACUCUUGGGCUCAAGUGAUCUGCCUACCACGGCCUCCCAAAGUGCUGGGAUUAUAGGCAUGAGCUACUGUGCCGGGCCUGAUAAAACCUAUUUUUAGUGAAACUCUUGCUCUUCUACAUAUUUCCAAUUUUUAGCCACAAUAAACAAAAAUAUGUUAAAAUAGAAUCAAUAGAAUAGGAUUUUGUAUAUUAUUAAAUAUAUGAUGAAAAUGAAUGGUGGUAAUCUAGGAUGAGGACCAAAUUUCAAACUUGGAUAAGCAGAGCUAUGAGGAUAAUGAGGCCAGUCUUGGUCCUGCUGGGUUUGAGCCACCUGUGGAAUACUUAGUUCAUAUAGUAUUUGGAAGACUAAUUACUGCACUUCUUGUUAUAGACUGAUUUACCCUCCUCCCUGCUGCAUAUGUUGAAGUCCUUGAAAAUAUGACUGCAUUUAGAGUUAGGGUCGUUAAAGAUAUAAAAUGAAGUUAUUGAGGUGGGUCUGAAUCCAAUCUGACUGGUGUCCUUAUAAGUAAAGAAGACUGGACACACACACAGAGAAAAGAUAAUGUGAAGACACAGGGAGAAGACAGUUAUCGACACACCAUGGAGAGAGACCUCAGAAGAAAUCAACCUUGCCCACAGGGUUAAUCUUAAGAGUCGUAGCCUCCAGAAUUGUGAAAAAAUAAAUGUUUAAGCCACUCA